AUUGAACGCUGGCGGCAGGCCUAACACAUGCAAGUCGAACGAGUGGCGGACGGGUGAGUAAUGUCUGGGCAUCUGCCCGAUGGAGGGGGAUAACUACUGGAAACGGUAGCUAAUACCGCAUACCAUCGGAUGAGCCCAGAUGGGAUUAGCUAGUCGGUGGGGUAAUGGCGCACCAAGGCGACGAUCCCUAGCUGGUCUGAGAGGAUGACCAGACACACUGGAACUGAGACACGGUCCAGACUCCUACGGGAGGCAGCAGUGGGGAAUAUUGCACAAUGGGCGAAAGCCUGAUGCAGCCAUGCCGCGUGUAUGAAGAAGGCCUUCGGGUUGUAAAGUACUUUCAGCGGGGAGGCGUUACCCGCAGAAUAAGCACCGGCUAACUCCGUGCCAGCCGCCGCGGUAAUUC
rnacentral:rRNA from 1 species